UUCAAAAAAAAAAAAAAGGUUGUCAAUUCGUCGGAAAAGUUCUUUUUAUGUAUGUUACCGCAUAACUUUGGACCACGUUAACCGAUUUCUAUAAUUCGUUUUUAAAGCAAAGUUGG